CCAGCUGCUGAAGACAGAGCUGGCCUCGCUGGAAGCACCGUCUUUCGGCGCUUCUGUACCCAUGUUGCUUCAAGGAGGAUAUGGCUAUGGCAA
rfam:Rhizobium sp. AC27/96 AS1I6_18, whole genome shotgun sequence.